AACUGCUGAAAACCUUUUCCAGUCCCAGUGUAGCCGGACCCGAUUUCAAUUCACCGAUCAGCAACUCAGCGCCUGAACGGUGUGACCCGUCUUGCAUUUUUGCGAGUUGCCGUUCAGAUCCUCAUUGACAGGCCGGGGAUUUGAACUUGGUUCUGCCGCUCUGUAGACUCGAGUCCCAGCACCCGAGCCAUUACGGU